GGGUCGUGUCCUUGAUCCUUUUCGAAGUAGUUUAUCUCCGAUGAUGGUUGAGGCUCUCAUUUGUACACAGAAUUGGCUUCGUUCUUCUUCUAUUCCAAUCAACCUUAAGACUUUAAUGAAUGAGGUGGAGGAUUUUGAAAGGCAGUUGGAACUUAUUCGGGACGGUGACAAUUCUAUGGAGGCUUCAAAUACAAUGUCUACAACCAAUGCAAGUUAAUGAGAAUACUGUGAAAACUGAAAAGUAUGCCAAGCCAAAAGAUGUAGGAAGCUAUGGCUUAUGAGCUGUCAGGAGAAGAAUUAUCUUUAUUGUAAUUUGUAUUUAGAGCUUUUAAUUUUUCAGUUAUUUGGGAAUUGUAUAAUUUUUAAUUUUCAUUAUAA